UGGGGUGUCGACAAGCGGUAAGUCACGGGAAUUUGGAUCCCGCAUUCGGAGGUUCGAAUCCUCCCACCCCAG
rnacentral:tRNA from 1 species